rnacentral:rRNA from 1 species
ACUGGUAUGUACUAGCCUGCCGAUUCCUCCUUCUUGUAGAAUCGUAAUGCCAUUAAUUUGGUGUUGCGGGGAAACAGGACUGUUACUUUGAAAAAAUUAGAGUGUUUAAAGCAGGCUAGCGCCUGAAUACAUUAGCAUGGAAUAAUGAAAUAGGACGUUCGAACCCAUUUUGUUGGUUUCUAGGAUUGACGUAAUGAUUAAUAGGGAUAGUUGGGGGCAUUAGUAUUCAAUUGUCAGAGGUGAAAUUCUUGGAUUUAUUGAAGACUGACUACUGCGAAAGCAUUUGCCAAGGAUGUUUUCAUUAAUCAAGAACGAAAGUUAGGGGAUCGAAGACGAUCAGAUACCGUCGUAGUCUUAACCAUAAACUAUGCCGACUAGGGAUCGGAUGAUGUUAAUUUUUUAAUGACUC